rnacentral:rRNA from 1 species
UACGAAGGGGACUAGCGUUGCUCGGAAUACUGGGCGUAAAGCGUGCGCAGGCGGUGAUGUAAGACCGAUGUGAAAUCCCCGGGCUUAACCUGGGAACUGCAUUGGUGACUGCAUUGCUGGAGUAUGGCAGAGGGGGGGUGGAAUUCCACGUGUAGCAGUGAAAUGCGUAGAGAUGUGGAGGAAUACCGAUGGCGAAGGCAGCCCCCCUGGGAUAACACUGACGCUCAUGCACGAAAGCGUGGGGAGCAAACAGG